CGGCAAACAGAACACAACACCACUGUAUAUCUGAAGCUGUAAAAGACAACAGUUAUUAUCAGCUAACAACCAGCAGGAAAGAGAAAGAGUGUGAAACUCUACUAGGGCAGGGAUGAACUUGACUCAAGUUUCUCUUGUGUGUGUGGCCUGCUAUGACACCAAGCUAUGAGACCUGUGUUGUUGUUUUUGCCUCUUUUAAUCUAAUAUACCAAUAAGGCAGCUGCACACACAACCAUCACUCGAUCACCUCCCUGUGCUGGAGUCUGUGCUCUCCCGGGGUAUUCAGUGGAAAAUUUGCAUCGAGGUCAACGUAUCCCAAGAUGAGAGUUUGCAACCCUCACACAAAGGCAUCAUCCAAUGCUCUGCUUAUGUAACACCACGCUAAAGCAACUGCAUUUAUUCUCAGAGUAAUUGGCGUGGAGAGAGUAUAAAACGCCAGGAGAGACAGAAGCAAGACAGAGAGAGACGG
ensembl:lncRNA